GAUGAACGCUGGCGGCGUGCCUAAUACAUGCAAGUCGAGCGAACAGACGAGGAGCUUGCUCCUCUGCCGUUAGCGGCGGACGGGUGAGUAACACGUGGAUACCCUACCUAUAAGACUGGGAUAACUUCGGGAAACCGGAGCUAAUACCGGAUAAUAUAUUGAACCGCAUGGUUCAAUAGUGCAAGCCGGUUUUGCUGUCACUUAUAGAUGGAUCCGCGCCGCAUUAGCUAGUUGGUAAGGUAACGGCUUACCAAGGCUACGAUGCGUAGCCGACCUGAGAGGGUGAUCGGCCACACUGGAACUGAGACACGGUCCAGACUCCUACGGGAGGCAGCAGUAGGGAAUCUUCCGCAAUGGGCGAAAGCCUGACGGAGCAACGCCGCGUGAGUGAUGAAGGUCUUCGGAUCGUAAAACUCUGUUAUUAGGGAAGAACAAAUGUGUAAGUAACUAUGCACGUCUUGACGGUACCUAAUCAGAAAGCCACGGCUAACUACGUG
rnacentral:rRNA from 1 species